UACGUAGGGAGCGAGCGUUGUCCGGAAUUACUGGGCGUAAAGGGCGCGUAGGCGGUUUGGCAAGUCACAUGUGAAAUACCUGGGCUCAACCCGGGGGGUGCAUGUGAAACUGCUAGACUUGAGUGCGGUAGAAGAAAGUGGAAUUCCUAGUGUAGCGGUGAAAUGCGUAGAUAUUAGGAGGAACACCAGUGGCGAAGGCGACUUUCUGGGCCGUAACUGACGCUGAGGCGCGAAAGUGUGUGGAGCAAACAGGAUUAGAUACCCUGGUAGUCCACGCCGUAAACGAUGAAUGCUAGGUGUAGGGGGUAUCGACCCCCUCUGUGCCGCAGCUAACGCAAUAAGCAUUCCGCCUGGGGAGUACGGCCGCAAGGUUGAA
rnacentral:rRNA from 1 species